rnacentral:rRNA from 1 species
CCUACGGGAGGCAGCAGUGGGGAAUAUUGCACAAUGGGGGAAACCCUGAUGCAGCGACGCCGCGUGAAGGAAGAAGUAUUUCGGUAUGUAAACUUCUAUCAGCAGGGAAGAAAAUGACGGUAUCUGACUAAGAAGCCACGGCUAACUACGUGCCAGCAGCCGCGGCAAUACGGAGGGGGCAAGCGUUAUCCGGAUUUACUGGGUGUAAAGGGAGCGUAGGCGGCGAUGCAAGUCAGAAGUGAAAGCCCGGGGCUCAACGCCGGGACUGCUUUUGAAACUGUGUUGCUAGAUUGCAGGAGAGGUAGGUGGAAUUCCUAGUGUAGCGGUGAAAUGCGUAGAUAUUAGGAAGAACACCAGUGGCGAAGGCAGCUUACUGGACUGUAAAUGACGCUGAGGCUCGAAAGCGUGGGGAGCAAACAGGAUUAGAUACCCUAGUAGUC